AGAAAAAAAGAAAUGGAAACAAAGAAACAGACCCUCGUCUUCGUUCUUUCCCCAAACGCGUAUCCGCUCUCAAUCUCUCUUCUCUCAAUCUCUCGACGCUCCUCACCGCUACCCACGGACUCUCUCACGUUUCUUUCAACCCCUCAACGAAUCUCUCUCGCAUUCGACCUCAAGCUCCUCUCACGUCCUCAACCACAUUCCCAAAUGCACAAUACCCACAGCUUUAAAGGAACCUGAAGUUUACCUCCGGUGGCGAUUUGGUAGUGACGAUGAAUGAUGAAGCCAAAACUUCGCUCUUUCGCCUCUCUGAUACAGCUUAGGGUUUCGAAUUGGUCCCUUCUUCCAAAAGAGUAACUCUGUAACCUCCUUUCUGAUGUGCUCAGUUUAGAUUAGCUUUUUUGAUGCU